CACGUAGGCGGUGAAUCGGGUUGAAAGUGAAAGUCGCCAAAAAGUGGCGGAAUGCUCUCGAGACCAAUUCACUUGAGUGAGACAGAGGAGAGUGGAAUUUCGUGUGUAGGGGUGAAAUCCGUAGAUCUACGAAGGAACGCCAAAAGCGAAGGCAGCUCUCUGGGUCCCUACCGACGCUGGGGUGCGAAAGCAUGGGGAGCGAACA
rnacentral:rRNA from 1 species